rnacentral:lncRNA from 1 species
GUUAAUCAUCAGAUGACGUGGAGCAAGAACAGGCUUACAUUGCUUGCAGAGUACCUGGAAGUAUCUGGUGAUGGUAAAGAUGGAAGGACACAGAAGGAAGACACCUGUGGUUUACCUGGUGGAGUGAAGCUGCUUAGCAGGAGGCAUAAUGAAUAGGAAGCAACCAAGUCUAGAUCUCAAGGCACCAGAAUGGCUAUUCCUUUACUGUGAAUUCAUCACGUGUCCUUAAUGACGUCAGCCUGUUUCUUGGAAGAAUACUUGCUAAUUAACUUACCCCCCUGCUGUGCUGUCUGGAAAAGAGCCUCUCACCCUGGAGAACCAAAGAAUUACAGGAUGUAGUGGUAGCUGUUGCAUUUCAUGUCUUUUCAGCAGCAUGAUGGAUUUAACUCACCCUUGUCUGACUAUUUGGAUUCUGGAGAACACAGUAUGAAUGAUUUCCAUCGGGUCUAAGCAAUGUCUCAUCGGAGACCUAAAUUACAUGACAGAACUCCUUUAAGGGAAAGGGAAAAUUAAUACCACCCUCUAUAAAUUAUCUGGAACAAACAAACUAGUUGCUCAAACUUGUUGUACUCUUGCCAGGAGUCAUAAACUAGCUAGCUGUGUUUAAGAAAAGUAGAAACUGUUUUUCCUACCAUGGAAUAAACAGUCUCUGGGUUCUAUUCCUAACCA